CCUGACCUCAGGUGAUCUCCCUGCUUUGGCCUCCCACAGUGCUGGGAUUAUAGGUGUGAGUCACCAUGCUUGGCCUGAACCUGCACUUUAAUAUGCUGCCUGAGGAUUCUCUUAGGCUUUAAAGUUUGGAAGCCAUGGGUUCAGUUAGAUGGACCUAGAACGGUACUACAACUUUUCCAGGCAUUUCUGUAAAGACUCACAGGAGCCUGGAAAUAAUAGGAAGUUUAGGAUCCUCAAGUGUAACCCCCUUUGUCCUAAGAGGAAAAACAAAAACUCAUGAUUAGAAUUUUCUUCUGCUUCCUAAUUGGCUUGGUAUAAACGCAGCUUGUUCUUCACCUGUCCAGGAACUGAAAUAAAUACAGAUCCUGAUUUAUUGUAACUAAUCCAAAACAGGUGUGCCUUUUACAGCUGUGUUUUAUUUUGAGGAGUAGUUCAGUGGCAGGAAUUUGGGUGGCAGCAGGGGAGGCUGGUGAGAGGAGGGUCACUUGGCAGUAAGGUGGGUUUUAGUCCCUGUACCAAAUCCUCACCACUGCCUGCUGUUGGAGCUGAGUGCCAGAGACAUGGCCUCUCUUGGUCUUUCUUGGUCUUCUUUGGCUAUGAUAGAAGAUAAACUUGCAUCUCUAAAAGGAGAUGGAAAAAGCAUUGAGCUAACCAAUCAUGUAUCAAGGCAAAUGAUAAAGCUGUGGUCAUCAAGAUAGUGUGGGAGUUGCCGUCAAUAGAUAGAUAAACCAAACUGAGGAAAAAGUACAGAAUUCAAUACUGGAAUUUGGUUUAUGGAUAGAAAUAGUCUUUCAACUUGUAGGGAAGAGACAAGUACUUCAAUGCUGACGCAAUUAGCACCAUAUAGGAAAAAUGUCAGUGCCUUACAAUGGACCCCAAAUAAACUCUGCUGUUAUUUGAUCUCUGAGUUAAAAUUCAUAAAAAACUAGAAAGUACUGAAAAAAAUUUUCAAAAUGAUUUUCAUGAUCUUGAGAGAUAUAGGAUCUUCUUGGGACAAGAAGAACAAAAUAAAAAGAAAGAAAAAGAAAGAAAUAUCAAUAAUUUUGAUUUUGUCAAGUUAAUUUUUUUCUAUAGAACAAAAAUACCACAAAGAAAAUUAAAGUGACACACUCUGUAUGUAGGACAUUGUAAUAGACAAAGAUUAUUUUCCAAGGUGUAUAAAAAUCAAAUAGAUAAAACACCCCUCACAAUUGAAUUGUUCUUAAAAGGUAAAUAUAUAUGAAGUUCAUGGAAGAGAUAAAUGAACAAUAAAUAUGCAAGAAGAUGCUCAACCUUAUGAGUAAUUAGGAAAAUACAAAUUUUAGAGAUAUGACAUCUUUCAUCAGAUAGAUAAAAAAUUAAAAGUAUAAUGUCAAGCUGAUAUUAGAAGGAAGUGAGUACAUUGCCAGUAAAAGAGUAAUUUGGCAAAAUCUCUUAGAACUGAAAAGGUCAUUAGCCGUGAUGCAGCAGUUUCACUUCUCAAUACUGACUCUUGAGAGAGGCUUGCAUGAGGGCCCAAGGAAGCAUUGACAUCAUGAGUGUCGUAGAAUUGUUUCUAAGGAAACAUUUCUAAGGAAAUGUUCAUGGGUAACUGGCUAAAUAAAAUGUGGCCUGCUAAAAUGAUGGACACCUCAAAACAAUAGAAUUAGAAUGGUACAUUGAAGAAGAAUACAUGCAAUAUACACGAUUUAUGCCACCCAACUAUUCCACAGUAGUAUAUGUUAUUUGUGUAUACAUAUAUAAACACAUAAAAUUAUUUUUUAAGUCUGGAAGAAUACAUUCAAAAUAAUAAGAUUAACUCUGGAGAAGGAAACAAGAAACCUAACAUCUGGAGAGAGAUUGUUCUUAAAGUGAUAAUACCUCAUGCUAAUAAGACUGUGUGGACACAGAUUUUUCUGUUACACUGCUGGCAAGAGUGUAAAUUAGUACAACCCUUCUGGAUGCCAAAUUUGUGAUAUUUACUAAUCCUUUAACACGUAAAUUUUGGCCCUGUAAUUAGCUUAAGAAUAUUAUCAGAAGUAUAAAUAGAACCAUUGGGACAAGAGUUUUUAUUGUAACAUGGUUCACAAUAAUGGAACACUGAGAACAAUCUAACAAUGGAGGAAUAAUAAAAUAUAUUAUGGUACAAAAUUCUUUGGACUAUUAAGGCAUUAAAAAUCAUGCCUUCAAAAUAUUUAAGGAUAUUUUAAAAAUGCUUGGAAGCAAUUUCAAAGCAAUUAUAUAUGUUGUCUCUUCCCUUGAGAAACUUACAGGUUUACGAGAGAAAGAUUAGUCUCUUUGCCUGUGGCCACACCAUUUAUUGGCAGAACCAAAACUACCGUAUUGGUCAUUUUUCCCAGUUUAAUGCCCUUAUACCUCAUGGCAAUUCUAGCCUAAAUGAGUCCGUCUUAAAGUCACUUCUUUCACUCUUACCUGGCAAUACAUUUCAUAGUUUUAUAAACAAUGUCUGGUAACUGACAUUUCACAGUUUUAUAAACAAAAUGCCUCUAUUCCUCCUUUCUAGCUGUUUCACAACAUAAACUCUACUCUGGUUUACUGGAAAAAUAGUACGCAUAUUACAAUACUAUAGCUUUUUAAAAUCCCUUAAGAGACAAAAAAAAAAAAAAAAACCAGCAAGAGAAUAUUUUUCUUUGAUCACUGAGGGAAUAGUGUGAUCAUGAAUAGAUAUUGAAAGUUAGAUGCUGGAUAGGAGUCCCUCAAAGUCCAAGGGCUCUAAAAAUGAGUAUUAUAAAAAAUUAAGCCACUAGAUAUGGAUAAAAUUUCCUCUUACCGUAUUUCUAGAGCCAUAUACAGUAAGACUGUAUCAUAUGAGCUGCCAAAUUCCCACAGGGGGAGUAUCACUCAUACGAUGCUAUGGACUAAUGUUUUUAUCCCCUAAAAAUUCAUAAUAACCUCCAAUGUGAUACUGUUAGCAGGUGGAGUCUGUGGGAAGUAAUCAGGUUUAGAUGAGGUCAUGAGGCUGGAGCCCCAUGAUGGGAUUAGAACUCUUGUAAGGAGAGACACCAGACAGCUUGUUUCCUCUCUUCUUUCUGCCAUCUGAGGACACAAUGAGAAGGCAGCCACCUGCAAGUCAGGAAGAGAGCCCUCACCAAGAACUCAAUCAGAAACACCUUGAUCUUGGACUUCCCAGCUUCCAGAACUAGAAGAAAUAAAUGUCUCUUAUUUAAACCACACAAUAUAUGGCCUUUUGUGAUAGCAGCCUGAGCUAAGACAUAAAUUCACUCUCAGAAUUUACAUCCAUAGCUCCAGGUAAUUUGGGAGCUGUUUGGUACACAAAUGUAGUGAACUACUAAAGGCGUCCCUGUAGUCUAAAAUAGCUUCCAUGCAUACCUAAUUUAUACCAGAGGUUACUCUAUUCACUGGGAGACUGUAAGUUCUUACGAAUGAUGAUGUUGAUAUUGUGUUCAUGGCAUGACACCAACUGACAAUUUAGUAAGGCAUUUUUCUGAAAUGGAAUUGUUAUUUACCAAAAGUAAGCAGUAAGUCACAAAUCACAUCAGUCAGUUCUGUCAUUUAAAAGACUAAAAA